UACGAAGGGGACUAGCGUUGUUCGGAAUCACUGGGCGUAAAGCGCACGUAGGCGGAUCUUUAAGUCAGGGGUGAAAUCCCAAGGCUCAACCUUGGAACUGCCUUUGAUACUGGGGAUCUCGAGUCCGGAAGAGGUGAGUGGAAUUCCCGGUGUAGCGGUGAAAUGCGCAGAUAUCGGGAGGAACACCAAUGGCGAAGGCAGCUCGCUGGGACGUUACUGACGCUGAGACGCGAAAGCGUGGGGAGCAAACAGG
rnacentral:rRNA from 1 species